rnacentral:rRNA from 1 species
UACGUAGGUGGCAAGCGUUGUCCGGAAUUAUUGGGCGUAAAGCGCGCGCAGGCGGCCUCCUAAGUCCGAUGUGAAAGCCCACGGCUCAACCGUGGAGGGUCAUUGGAAACUGGGGGACUUGAGUGCAGGAGAGAAGAGUGGAAUUCCACGUGUAGCGGUGAAAUGCGUAGAUAUCAAGUGGAACACCAGUGGCGAAGGCGAGUCCCUGGAAAACUCCUGACACUGAGGCACGAAAGCCAGGGGAGCAAACAGG